UUGCAAAGAUAAAUGCACUAAGGGGAUUUUUCGCUUCUUCGAUUGCUUCAGUAUAAAAGAAUUAUUUUUCGCUGCUGUUUAUAUCAGUUCUAAGAUACUUCGUUGUACAGUUACAGUUACGUUUUCUACGGAACCGAAAUCAAUUGCCAAUUACAAUGCAGUCCAUUACAGUUGCUUGUCUAGCGCUUCUGUGUUUCGCUGCAGUGUUCGCGACAGCUUCCAGUGCACAAUCACCGGACAAUGUAUCUACAUUCGAAGACUUGGAUCAACUCGGAGCUGACACCAAUCCCCUCAAUCUGGCAAAGAUAGCGAUUCCCCAAUUGCGCAAUCGAUGCAAAAACAUGGGAAAUUGUGUUCAUGACAGGUUGUGUGACCAGCACUGCAAACAGUUCCGGUACAAAGACGGAGAAUGCAGUGGAAGGUCCUGUAUUUGCUGCGCCUAGUUUACUAGCUGGAGAUAAUUUGUCUGCGUUUUAUAGAUAACAAACUAGUCAUUUGUGUAACAAAACAGUUACAAAAUAAAAAUGUCUGUUUUUAUAUUAAA